GCAGCAGUCUUUGUUGGGAUCAUGUCUACAAGUAGUGAUCGUCGACUUACCCAGUCACCCACUAUGAGGCCAUCUGAGCCAGACUCUUUUUCAGGGACUCGUCAGAACGGCAGGCUGACCAAUUCAUGCCUCGAGGCAACGGCAGAUUCCAAUUUUCUGACAGAGCGGAAUUGGAUCCAUUGGUUCAAUCUCGGAGCGUUUCAAAACACAACUGGUGUGGCUAAUAUAAGUCAUAGACCAUACUCGCGCCGUGCCAACCUUUGUACAGCCCGAAUGAGUCGUCUGAAUGAACCGCCAGCCCCUCCAGACCUUCACAUUGUGCCUGUUACUCUAAAGUUGGCAUUUCUAACACGGGAGAGAUGCGAGUGGAGCAGACUUUGACUGCUAUGAUCUUCGUGGUGCUCUCAGGUCGUCGUGGAGUCUUUCUGGGAGGUUUCAAUUCGUUAUUGAGUGAUCUAACUUGUUCUGGAGCAUUUGGCACUCCUUCUGGGUUGUUCAAAAUGAUGCAAGUCUCCUGAAGUCGUCAUUGGACAUUCUGCAGUUGUCUAGACCCGUUCUAGAGUCUCCGGGUGGCCCGGGACUGGCCCUGCUCUAACUCUACAAGUAGUAGUCACUCUGGUCUCUCACCGACUCUAAACGUGGUGAAAAACUUGAGGUGCACAAUGGAGAGCUGGGACAGUCGCUGACAGAAUAGAGCCUGAGUGGAUCUUCCCUCAGCCAAAGUUCCGUGGAGUGCGGCGCCAGACCCUACUGCAAAUAGGGCUCAGAGCAGCCAUGUCUGGUGACUCAGACCACAUUAUCCAAAUGCCAGAGACGGCCCAAGAUAUCCCGACCCCAGUCUUUCAAUUAACCCUUCUUAUUCCACCCGUAUUCGUGCGGCCGAAUUUCCCUCCAACUGGCCACGAUUUCCAUUUCUUAUGUGCGAGGGUUUUCUCCUAUAUUUAUUAUUAUUAUUAUUAUUAUUAUUAUUAU
rnacentral:misc_RNA from 1 species